AUUGAAUGCUGGCGGCAUGCCUUACACAUGCAAGUCGAACGGUAACAGGUCUUUCGGGAUGCUGACGAGUGGCGAACGGGUGAGUAAUACAUCGGAACGUGCCUAGUAGUGGGGGAUAACUACUCGAAAGAGUGGCUAAUACCGCAUGAGAUCUAUGGAUGAAAGCAGGGGACCUUCGGGCCUUGUGCUACUAGAGCGGCCGAUGGCAGAUCAGGUAGUUGGUGGGAUAAAAGCUUACCAAGCCUACGAUCUGUAGCUGGUCUGAGAGGACGAUCAGUCACACUGGGACUGAGACACGGCCCAGACUCCUACGGGAGGCAGCAGUGGGGAAUUUUGGACAAUGGGCGCAAGCCUGAUCCAGCAAUGCCGCGUGCAGGAUGAAGGCCUUCGGGUUGUAAACUGCUUUUGUACGGAACGAAAAGUCUUGGGUUAAUACCCUGGGAUCAUGACGGUACCGUAAGAAUAAGCACCGGCUAACUACGUGCCAGCAGCCGCGGUAACAC
rnacentral:rRNA from 1 species